rnacentral:misc_RNA from 1 species
GAUGAAGAACGUAGCGAAAUGCGAUAAGUAGUGUGAAUUGCAGAAUUCAGUGAAUCAUCGAAUCUUUGAACGCACAUUGCGCCCCUUGGUAUUCCAUGGGGCAGGCCUGUUCGAGCGUCAUUUGUACCUUCAAGCUCUGCUUGGUGUUGGGUGUUUGUCUCGCCUCUGCGUGUAGACUCGCCUCAAAACAAUUGGCAGCCGGCGUAUUGAUUUCGGAGCGCAGUACAUCUCGCGCUUUGCACUCAUAACGACGACGUCCAAAAGUACAUUUUUACACUCUUGACCUCGGAUCAGGUAGGGAUACCCGCUGAACUUAAGCAUAUCAAUAAGCGGAGGA